rnacentral:rRNA from 1 species
GGUUAAGCGACUAAGCGUACACGGUGGAUGCCCUGGCAGUCAGAGGCGAUGAAGGACGUGCUAAUCUGCGAUAAGCGUCGGUAAGGUGAUAUGAACCGUUAUAACCGGCGAUUUCCGAAUGGGGAAACCCAGUGUGUUUCGACACACUAUCAUUAACUGAAUCCAUAGGUUAAUGAGGCGAACCGGGGGAACUGAAACAUCUAAGUACCCCGAGGAAAAGAAAUCAACCGAGAUUCCCCCAGUAGCGGCGAGCGAACGGGGAGCAGCCCAGAGCCUGAAUCAGUGUGUGUGUUAGUGGAAGCGUCUGGAAAGGCGCGCGAUACAGGGUGACAGCCCCGUACACAAAAAUGCACAUACUGUGAGCUCGAUGAGUAGGGCGGGACACGUGGUAUCCUGUCUGAAUAUGGGGGGACCAUCCUCCAAGGCUAAAUACUCCUGACUGACCGAUAGUGAACCAGUACCGUGAGGGAAAGGCGAAAAGAACCCCGGCGAGGGGAGUGAAAAAGAACCUGAAACCGUGUACGUACAAGCAGUGGGAGCACGCUUAGGCGUGUGACUGCGUACCUUUUGUAUAAUGGGUCAGCGACUUAUAUUCUGUAGCAAGGUUAACCGAAUAGGGGAGCCGAAGGGAAACCGAGUCUUAACUGGGCGUUAAGUUGCAGGGUAUAGACCCGAAACCCGGUGAUCUAGCCAUGGGCAGGUUGAAGGUUGGGUAACACUAACUGGAGGACCGAACCGACUAAUGUUGAAAAAUUAGCGGAUGACUUGUGGCUGGGGGUGAAAGGCCAAUCAAACCGGGAGAUAGCUGGUUCUCCCCGAAAGCUAUUUAGGUAGCGCCUCGUGAAUUCAUCUCCGGGGGUAGAGCACUGUUUCGGCAAGGGGGUCAUCCCGACUUACCAACCCGAUGCAAACUACGAAUACCGGAGAAUGUUAUCACGGGAGACACACGGCGGGUGCUAACGUCCGUCGUGAAGAGGGAAACAACCCAGACCGCCAGCUAAGGUCCCAAAGUCAUGGUUAAGUGGGAAACGAUGUGGGAAGGCCCAGACAGCCAGGAUGUUGGCUUAGAAGCAGCCAUCAUUUAAAGAAAGCGUAAUAGCUCACUGGUCGAGUCGGCCUGCGCGGAAGAUGUAACGGGGCUAAACCAUGCACCGAAGCUGCGGCAGCGACGCUGAUGCGUUGUUGGGUAGGGGAGCGUUCUGUAAGCCUGCGAAGGUGUGCUGUGAGGCAUGCUGGAGGUAUCAGAAGUGCGAAUGCUGACAUAAGUAACGAUAAAGCGGGUGAAAAGCCCGCUCGCCGGAAGACCAAGGGUUCCUGUCCAACGUUAAUCGGGGCAGGGUGAGUCGACCCCUAAGGCGAGGCCGAAAGGCGUAGUCGAUGGGAAACAGGUUAAUAUUCCUGUACUUGGUGUUACUGCGAAGGGGGGACGGAGAAGGCUAUGUUGGCCGGGCGACGGUUGUCCCGGUUUAAGCGUGUAGGCUGGUUUUCCAGGCAAAUCCGGAAAAUCAAGGCUGAGGCGUGAUGACGAGGCACUACGGUGCUGAAGCAACAAAUGCCCUGCUUCCAGGAAAAGCCUCUAAGCAUCAGGUAACAUCAAAUCGUACCCCAAACCGACACAGGUGGUCAGGUAGAGAAUACCAAGGCGCUUGAGAGAACUCGGGUGAAGGAACUAGGCAAAAUGGUGCCGUAACUUCGGGAGAAGGCACGCUGAUAUGUAGGUGAAGUCCCUCGCGGAUGGAGCUGAAAUCAGUCGAAGAUACCAGCUGGCUGCAACUGUUUAUUAAAAACACAGCACUGUGCAAACACGAAAGUGGACGUAUACGGUGUGACGCCUGCCCGGUGCCGGAAGGUUAAUUGAUGGGGUCAGCGCAAGCGAAGCUCUUGAUCGAAGCCCCGGUAAACGGCGGCCGUAACUAUAACGGUCCUAAGGUAGCGAAAUUCCUUGUCGGGUAAGUUCCGACCUGCACGAAUGGCGUAAUGAUGGCCAGGCUGUCUCCACCCGAGACUCAGUGAAAUUGAACUCGCUGUGAAGAUGCAGUGUACCCGCGGCAAGACGGAAAGACCCCGUGAACCUUUACUAUAGCUUGACACUGAACAUUGAGCCUUGAUGUGUAGGAUAGGUGGGAGGCUUUGAAGUGUGGACGCCAGUCUGCAUGGAGCCGACCUUGAAAUACCACCCUUUAAUGUUUGAUGUUCUAACGUGGACCCGUAAUCCGGGUUGCGGACAGUGUCUGGUGGGUAGUUUGACUGGGGCGGUCUCCUCCUAAAGAGUAACGGAGGAGCACGAAGGUUGGCUAAUCCUGGUCGGACAUCAGGAGGUUAGUGCAAUGGCAUAAGCCAGCUUGACUGCGAGCGUGACGGCGCGAGCAGGUGCGAAAGCAGGUCAUAGUGAUCCGGUGGUUCUGAAUGGAAGGGCCAUCGCUCAACGGAUAAAAGGUACUCCGGGGAUAACAGGCUGAUACCGCCCAAGAGUUCAUAUCGACGGCGGUGUUUGGCACCUCGAUGUCGGCUCAUCACAUCCUGGGGCUGAAGUAGGUCCCAAGGGUAUGGCUGUUCGCCAUUUAAAGUGGUACGCGAGCUGGGUUUAGAACGUCGUGAGACAGUUCGGUCCCUAUCUGCCGUGGGCGCUGGAGAACUGAGGGGGGCUGCUCCUAGUACGAGAGGACCGGAGUGGACGCAUCACUGGUGUUCGGGUUGUCAUGCCAAUGGCACUGCCCGGUAGCUAAAUGCGGAAGAGAUAAGUGCUGAAAGCAUCUAAGCACGAAACUUGCCCCGAGAUGAGUUCUCCCUGACCCUUUAAGGGUCCUGAAGGAACGUUGAAGACGACGACGUUGAUAGGCCGGGUGUGUAAGCGCAGCGAUGCGUUGAGCUAACCGGUACUAAUGAACCGUGAGGCUUAACCUU